GUUUUAUCGGAUCAUCAUUCCCUCUAAUACCACUUUAUUCUCCUAACAAUUCCUUCAAGUUUUCAUCUUUAACAAUGGCCGCUUGUAUUCACGCUUCAAGAACCAAAAAUCCACCAAAAAACCCACUUUCUCGUGACCCAAACAAGCCACAAAUCGAUAACCAUGUCUACAAUUACGUCAAAUACUGCCGACCCACUUUCCCUGACCUUGUUUCCUGCAAACCCUUUUCAGAAAAAAGCUCGAAAAUCGAGGAAUUGGGAGAUGAGUUAUGGCUGAAAAUGAAAGAGGAAGCUAGGUCAGAUAUUGACCAAGAACCAAUUUUGUCUAGUUAUUACGUUUCUUCAAUUCUAGCUCAUGAAUCCAUGGAGAGAGCUUUAGCUAAUCAUCUUUCUAUGAAAUUGGGUAAUCCUAAUCUUCCUAGUACUACU
rnacentral:misc_RNA from 1 species